rnacentral:rRNA from 1 species
GAUGAACGCUGGCGGCGUGCUUAACACAUGCAAGUCGAACGAUGAAGCCCAGCUUGCUGGGUGGUUUAGUGGCGAACGGGUGAGUAACACGUGAGUAACCUGCCCUUGACUCUGGGAUAAGCCCGGGAAACUGGGUCUAAUACCGGAUAGGAGCGCCUGUCGCAUGACGGGUGUUGGAAAGAUUUUUCGGUCAUGGAUGGACUCGCGGCCUAUCAGCUUGUUGGUGAGGUAAUGGCUCACCAAGGCGACGACGGGUAGCCGGCCUGAGAGGGUGACCGGCCACAAUGGGACUGAGACACGGCCCAGACUCCUACGGGAGGCAGCAGUGGGGAAUAUUGCACAAUGGGCGGAAGCCUGAUGCAGCGACGCCGCGUGAGGGAUGACGGCCUUCGGGUUGUAAACCUCUUUCAGUAGGGAAGAAGCGAAAGUGACGGUACCUGCAGAAGAAGCACCGGCUAACUACGUG